rnacentral:rRNA from 1 species
CAGAGCAGUACGGUCAACUAAAACUUAAAGAACUUGGCGGUUUUCUAGAUCUCCUUGGAGGAGCUUGUCAUCGAAUUGAUAACCCACAAGACACCUCACCAACUCAAGACUUAUCAGCUUGUAUACCAUCGUCGUCAGCUCACAUCAAAAGAGAGUAAGCCACAUGGAAAAUACCCACAACGUCAGAUCAAGGUGCAGCUAAUGAGCUGGGGAUAGAUGAGCUACUUUAUUCACAAAACAGAGGAAGUAACCA